UUAAUUGAAGAGUUUGAUCAUGGCUCAGAUUGAACGCUGGCGGCAGGCCUAACACAUGCAAGUCGAGCGGUAACAUUUCUAGCUUGCUAGAAGAUGACGAGCGGCGGACGGGUGAGUAAUGCUUGGGAACAUGCCUUGAGGUGGGGGACAACAGUUGGAAACGACUGCUAAUACCGCUUAUGUUCUAUG
rnacentral:rRNA from 1 species